GAGACUGCGCGGGAACGUGGUGGAUGCCACCCACGUUGAGUUGUCACGCAGGAAUGACUGGACAGACCCUGCCAGCCAGGAAUAGGAUCCCAGGAUGCCCCUUUAGUACUGGCCAUUGAAGGCAAUUUUGACUGAUAUUGCAAGGCAAUCAAUCAAGGCAAUCAGCAGAAGAACAUAGGCUGCUUUAUCAGAAGAGCAGGACAGGAAAUGGGGAGAAAAAAAAGAAAGCCGGGAAGCUUUCUUUAUUUGAUACUCAAAUUCAGACCUACAAGGACAGUUUGCUGAAAGUGUUGCUGUGGUCACAGUACCUGGAUAGCAUACUCAGCACUGCACGCAGGCUAUGACUUGCAGUGCGAGUGCAAAGAAACAACAUUUGAUUUGGUCCCAGUCCACCGCAUUCAUUAAGAAUUAUUGUAAGCCCUUUACCAGCUCUAAUUCUCAACCAAUUACCUUCAAAUCUUUGGGGAUUAUUCCCUAAAUCCAAGCUAGUACACUUGAAUUAAACUGCUGUCUGAUGUAACCACACAAGAUACUGCUUCUUCUUGAUAUUUAUAGUAUGGUAUUUAUCUUUUGUUGCUCUGUCACUGCAGUUAAGGCAUAAAAAUGGCCACAAGGUGGCAGAAGCGCAUUUGAUAAGAGCUCGGCAUGGAUCUUUCAAAUUUACAGACCUGAUCAAAAUCUCAAGACCAGUUGAAAAUGAGCUUAAAUAGAUCUUUUACACAUUGGGAUCUUAAUGAGGUUUUAAGUAGAGCUACAAUAUGGAAAAGCAAGAAUGG